rnacentral:lncRNA from 1 species
GCCUUUCUAGCCAUCCUGAAUAAUUAUAUCCCUUGUUAACCCCAUUUGAGCUUGUAUCCAUUUGUUUGUUUAAACCCCAUAAAUGCACCCCUUGGCCAAAACACUUCCUUACCCUGUUCAGAGUCAUGUUAAUGCAUUCAAAUUGUGUUGAAAAGCUAAGUUUGGGGUAAAAACCCUAAAAGCUACCAAAAGCCCAAGAAAGUGCGAGAACAAAAAAAAAUAAAAAGAAAUUGAUGAAUCGAGAGAAAGAAAGAA